ACUCCUACGGGAGGCAGCAGUGGGAAUAUUGCACAAUGGGCGAAAGCCUGAUGCAGCAAUGCCGCGUGUGUGAAGAAGGCCUGCGGGUUGUAAAGCACUUUUAUCGGGAAAGAAAAACCAGGGCUAAUACCCUUGGUCUUGACGGUACCGUUGAAUUAAGCACCGGCUAACUCCGUGCCAGCAGCCGCGGUAAUACGGAGGGUGCAAGCGUUAAUCGGAAUUACUGGGCGUAAAGCGAGUGUAGGCGGCGACGUAAGUCGGAUGUGAAAGCCCCGGGCUCAACCUGGGAAUGGCAUUCGAUACUGCGUGGCUCGAGUCUGAUAGAGGGAUGUGGAAUUCCGGGUGUAGCGGUGAAAUGCGUAGAUAUCCGGAGGAACACCAGUGGCGAAGGCGGCAUCCUGGAUCAAGACUGACGCUGAGGCUCGAAAGCGUGGGGAGCAAACAGGAUUAGAUACCCCGGUAGGCUCUGCU
rnacentral:rRNA from 1 species